rnacentral:rRNA from 1 species
GACGAACGCUGGCGGCGUGCCUAAUACAUGCAAGUAGAACGCUGAAGGAGGAGCUUGCUUCUCUGGAUGAGUUGCGAACGGGUGAGUAACGCGUAGGUAACCUGCCUGGUAGCGGGGGAUAACUAUUGGAAACGAUAGCUAAUACCGCAUAAGAGUAGAUGUUGCAUGACAUUUGCUUAAAAGGUGCAAUUGCAUCACUACCAGAUGGACCUGCGUUGUAUUAGCUAGUUGGUGGGGUAACGGCUCACCAAGGCGACGAUACAUAGCCGACCUGAGAGGGUGGUCGGCCACACUGGGACUGAGACACGGCCCAGACGCCUACGGGAGGCAGCAGUAGGGAAUCUUCGGCAAUGGACGGAAGUCUGACCGAGCAACGCCGCGUGAGUGAAGAAGGUUUUCGGAUCGUAAAGCUCUGUUGUAAGAGAAGAACGAGUGUGAGAGUGGAAAGUUCACACUGUGACGGUAUCUUACCAGAAAGGGACGGCUAACUACGUG